GACGUCACGCGCUCUCCAGGAAGUCGGCGCGGGCCGAGCGGCGGGUGGAAGCCGGUGCCGAGAGGAACUGCUGUGUUGCCGCCUGGGUCGGGCCGCCGCGGUGGGCGCCGCGGUCUGAGCGCCGCGCAGGCCCCGUAGCGACCGCCCGUCCGCCCUCUGUUCACGAUGGAGGCGCCGUCCGCGGGCCGUGUUCCCGCCGAGGGUGCCCCGACGGCGGCUGUGGCCGAGGUGCGCUGUCCGGGGCCCGCGCCGCUGCGCCUGCUGGAGUGGAGGGUGGCGGCGGGCGCGGCCGUGCGCAUCGGCUCGGUGCUGGCCGUGUUCGAGGCCGCCGCCUCCGCGCAGCCCGCCGGCUCCCCCCAGUCCCGUGCGGUCUCCGGGGGCUGCGUGCGCCCGGCGCGGGCGGAGCGCAGGCUGAGGUCGGAGCGCGCGGGCGUGGUGCGGGAGCUGUGCGCGCAGCCCGGCCAGAUGGUCGCCCCAGGAGCGGUUCUGGUGACGUUAGAAGGAUGUAGCCACCCAGUUGUCAUGAAAGGCUUGUGUGCUGAAUGUGGCCAAGACCUCACCCAGUUGCAGAGUAAGAACGGGAAGCAGCAGGUGCCGCUGUCCACGGCCACCGUGUCCAUGGUGCACAGCGUGCCGGAGUUGAUGGUGAGCUCCGAGCAAGCUGAACAGCUGGGAAGAGAAGACCAGCAGCGGCUGCACCGAAACCGGAAACUCGUGCUCAUGGUGGAUUUGGACCAGACGUUGAUCCACACGACCGAGCAGCACUGCCAGCAGAUGUCGAAUAAAGGCAUCUUUCACUUCCAGCUGGGCCGGGGCGAGCCCAUGCUGCACACGCGCCUGCGUCCUCACUGCAAGGACUUCCUGGAGAAGAUCGCCAAGCUGUACGAGCUGCAUGUCUUCACCUUCGGCAGCCGGCUCUAUGCGCACACCAUCGCAGGAUUUUUAGACCCCGAGAAGAAGCUUUUUUCUCAUCGAAUAUUAUCGAGGGAUGAAUGUAUCGACCCAUUUUCUAAAACAGGAAACCUUAGAAAUCUCUUUCCUUGUGGAGACUCAAUGGUUUGCAUUAUCGAUGACCGAGAGGACGUCUGGAAGUUCGCCCCCAACCUGAUCACUGUGAAGAAAUACGUGUACUUCCAGGGCACAGGCGACAUGAACGCGCCCCCCGGGUCCCGGGCGUCUCCGACAAGAAGGAAAGUAAAUCAUUCUUCUCGAGGCACCGAGGUCUCAGAGCAAGCCCCGCCCGUGAGAGACCCUGAGGAGGGAGCACAGGCCCCUGGAGUGGAGCCCAGCAACGGCCUCGAGACAGCAGCACGGGAGCUGAACGGCAGCGAGGCUGCCGUCCUGCAGGACUCACCCCGCCCUGGGAAGCCAGAUGAGAAGGACACCUGGCCCCUUGCCCAGGCCCCCGCUGGCAGCCGAGAGCUGGCAGGUGCUCUCGAGCCUCAGGGAUCCUGUGCACAGGGUGGCCGGGCAGCACCGGGACAGCGGCCUGCCCAGGGUGCCAUGGGCACUGACCUGGACUUUGACCUAUCCAGUGACAGCGAGAGCAGCAGUGAGUCGGAGGGCACAAAGUCCUCCCCCUCGGCUUCUGACGGUGAAAGUGAAGGGAGGAGAGGCCGACAGAAGCCGAAGGCUGCCCCAGAGGGAGCUGAGGUGCUGGUGCAGGGCAGGCCCCUGGAGGCAAGCCGGCCUGCAGGGCCAAGUUCCCUUGGAGAGGCCGAGCCCAGCGCACAUGUCCCGGACAAGGGGCCCGAGCUCGGUGGGCAGGAGGAGGGCGAGCGGGACAGCCUCUGCAGCCUGGGCAACGGCUGUGCCGACAGGAAGGAGGCAGAGACCGAGUCUCAGAACAGCGAGCUGUCGGGCGUCACCGCGGGCGAGUCCCUGGACCAGAGCAUGGAGGAGGAGGAGGAGGACACGGAUGAGGAUGACCACCUCAUCUACCUGGAGGAGAUCCUGGUCCGUGUGCACACCGACUACUAUGCCAAGUACGACCGCUUCCUCAACAAGGAGAUCGAGGAGGCGCCAGACAUCCGCAAGAUCGUGCCGGAGCUCAAGAGCAAGGUGCUGGCGGACGUGGCCAUCAUUUUCAGUGGGCUGCACCCCACCAACUUCCCAAUAGAGAAGACGCGGGAGCAUUACCACGCCACAGCACUGGGAGCAAAGAUCCUCACUCGGCUGGUGCUGAGUCCCGAUGCCCCUGACAGGGCCACGCACCUGAUCGCCGCACGGGCUGGCACAGAGAAGGUGCUGCAGGCACAGGAGUGUGGGCACCUGCACGUGGUCAAUCCUGACUGGCUGUGGAGCUGCCUGGAGCGCUGGGACAAGGUGGAGGAGCAGCUCUUCCCGCUCAGGGACGACCACACCAAGGCACAGAGGGAGAACAGCCCCGCGGCCUUUCCCGACCGGGAGGGUGUGCCCCCCACUGCCCUGUUCCACCCAAUGCCGGUUCUUCCCAAGGCCCAGCCUGGCCCUGAGGUUCGGAUCUAUGACUCCAACACGGGAAAGCUCAUCAGGACGGGUGCCCGGGGGCCCCCAGCACCCCCCAGCUCCCUGCCCAUCCGCCAGGAGCCCUCCUCCUUCAGAGCGGUCCCGCCACCUCAGCCGCAGAUGUUUGAUGAAGAGCUGCCUGAUGCUCAGGACGGAGAGCAGCCUGGCCCUUCUAGAAGAAAGCGACAGCCCAGUAUGUCUGAGACAAUGCCGCUGUACACUCUUUGUAAGGAGGAUUUAGAGAGUAUGGACAAAGAGGUGGACGACAUCCUUGGAGAAGGCAGCGAUGACAGCGACAGCGAGAAGAGGAGGCCAGAGGAGCAGGAGGAGGAGCUCCAGCCCCGGAAGCCUGAGGCCCGCAGGGAGCAGACCCUCGGGGCCUCAGCGUCCAGCGAGAGGAGCAUGGCAGGUGGCCGGGGGCCCAGCAGCGGCUUCGAUUCAGCAGCCCCUGGUGGUGGACACUUGGAUGCCUCCAUGUUGAAUCCAUGUCAUAUUACAUGUGUGCACAGGCGUGUGUGUGGUCUGCACAUGUGUGCACAGGCGUGUAUGGGGUCUCCACGUGUGUGCAGGCGUGUGUGGUCUCGGUGUGUGUGAGGUCUGUACGUGUGCACAUAGGCAUGUGUGGGGUCUGCACGUGUGCACAGGUGUGUGAGGUCUGUAUGUGCACACAGGCGUGUGUGAGGUCUCCACGUGUGAGCACAGACAUGUGGGGUCUCCGUGUGUGCGCACAGGCAUGUGUGGGGUCUCCGUGUGUUCGGACAGGUGUGUGUGAGGUCUGUAUGUGUGCGCACAGGCGUGUAUGAAGUGGUGUAUGCGCACAGGCAUGUGGGGUCUCCGUGUGUGCGCACAGGCGUGUGUGGGGUCUCCGUGUGUUCGGACAGGUGUGUGUGAGGUCUGUAUGUGUGCGCACAGGCGUGUAUGAGGUGUAUGCGCACAGGCGUGUGGGGUCUCCGUGUGUUCACACAGAUGUGUGUGAGGUCUGUACAUGCGCACAGGCGUGUGUGGGGUCUCCGUGUGUGUGCACAGGUGAGUUCUGUACGUGUGCAUGCACAGGCAUGUGUGUGGUCUCCAUGUGUGCACACAGGCGUGUGUGAGAUCUGUAUGUCUGCACACAGACGUGUGUAUGGUCUCCAUGUAUGCACACAGGCGUGUGGGGUCUGCACAUGUGCGCACAGGUGUGAGGUCUGUAUGUGUACAUGCACAUGUGAUCUCCAUGUGUGCAUACAGGCGUGUGUGAGGUCUGUAUGUGUUCACACAGGCGUGUGUGGUCUCCAUGUGUGCGCACAGGCGUGUGGUCUCCAUGUGUGCUCACAGGCAUGUGAGGUCUGUGUGUGUGCGCAGACGUGUGUAUGGUCUCCAUGUGUGCACACAGGUGUGUGGGGUCUCCAUGUGUGCGCACAGGCGUGUGGUCUCCAUGUGUGCUCACAGGCAUGUGAGGUCUGUGUGUGUGCGCAGACGUGUGUGGGGUCUCCAUGUGUGUGCACAGGCGUGUGUGAGAUCUGUACGUGUGCGCACAGACGUGUGUAUGUUCUCCGUGUGUGCACAUAGGCAUGUGUGUGCAUAAGCAUGUGUGUGGUCUCCGUGUGUGUGCAUACAGGCAUGUGAGGUCUCCAUGUGUGCGUACAGACGUUUGUGGUCUGUACAUGUGCACACUGGCGUGUGUGGGGGUCUCCAUGUGUGCGCACAGGCAUGUUUGUCAUCUAUACGUGUACGCACAGGUGUGUGUGUGGGGUCUCCAUGUGUGCGCACAGGCGUGUAUCAUCUCUGUGUGCACACAGGCAUGUUUGUGGUCUGUACAUGUGCACACUGGCGUGUGUGGGGGUCUCCAUGUGUGCGCACAGGCAUGUUUGUCAUCUAUACGUGUACGCACAGGUGUGUGUGUGGGGUCUCCAUGUGUGCGCACAGGCGUGUAUCAUCUCUGUGUGCGUACAGGCAUGUUUGUGGUCUGUACAUGUGCACACUGGCGUGUGUGGGGGUCUCCAUGUGUGCGCACAGGCAUGUUUGUCAUCUAUACGUGUACGCACAGGUGUGUGUGUGGGGUCUCCAUGUGUGCGCACAGGCGUGUAUCAUCUCUGUGUGCACACAGGCAUGUUUGUGGUCUGUACAUGUGCACACUGGCGUGUGUGGGGGUCUCCAUGUGUGCGCACAGGCGUGUAUCAUCUCUGUGUGCGCACAGGCAUGUUUGUCAUCUAUACGUGUACACACAGGUGUGUGUGUGGGGUCUCCAUGUGUGCGCACAGGCGUGUAUCAUCUCUGUGUGCACACAGGCAUGUUUGUGGUCUGUACAUGUACACACAGGUGUGUGUGGGGUCUCCAUGUGUGCGCACAGGCGUGUAUCAUCUCUGCACACAGGCAUGUUUGUCAUCUAUACGUGUACACACAGGUGUGUGUGUGGGGUCUCCAUGUGUGCGCACAGGCGUGUAUCUUCUCUGUGUGCGUACAGGCAUGUUUGUGGUCUGUACAUGUGCACACAGGUGUGUGUGUGGGGUCUCCAUGUGUGCGCACAGGCGCAUGUAUGGUCUGCACGUGUGCACACAGUUGUGUGUGAGGUCUGCCUGUGCGCUCACAGGUGAAAUGGAGUAGAAGCAGUGCCAGCCUCGGAGAGGCUGCUCCCAGCUUCAGCAGGGUGACCAUUUUAGCAAGACCUGAGGAAAUGAGAAUUUCUGGAUUGCAGCCCCUUGAUGACCUGGGAGGUGCUUGUUAGCAUAACUGACUGGUGACUUCCUGUCCUGCCCUCACACUCCCGAUCUGAGGUUUCCAGCAAGACCCGUGUGUUUAUGAGCUGCUGGAACACCUGUUUGCAGAUGAGGCCACAAGAGGAAGCUGAACGAAGAGGAUGCCGCCAGUGAGUCCAGCAGGGGGUCCAGCAACGAGGACGAGGGCAGCAGCUCUGAGGCCGACGAGAUGGCUGCGGCGCUGGAGGCGGAGCUGAAUGACCUCAUGU